rnacentral:siRNA from 1 species
CUGAGUAGUCGUGUGUCGGCCA